rnacentral:rRNA from 1 species
AGAGUUUGAUCCUGGCUCAGGAUGAACGCUAGCGGCAGGCCUAAUACAUGCAAGUCGAACGGUAAGUAGAGUAGCAAUACUUUGCCUAGAGCGACGUACGGGUGCGUAACACGUAUGCAACCUACCCUUUACAGGCGGAUAGCUCGGGGAAACCCGAAUUAACCCGCCGUAGUAUAAUUGAAUGGCAUCAUUUGAUUAUUAAAACUCAGGUGGUAAAGGAUGGGCAUGCGUCUGAUUAGUUAGUUGGUAGUGUAACGGACUACCAAGACGAUGAUCAGUAGGGGAACUGAGAGGUUGAUCCCCCACACUGGCACUGAGAUACGGGCCAGACUCCUACGGGAGGCAGCAGUAGGGAAUAUUGGUCAAUGGAUGCAAGUCUGAACCAGCCAUGCCGCGUGCAGGAAGAAGGCCUUCUGGGUUGUAAACUCCUGUCAUUUGAGAACAAGGCUGCGCAAGUAACUACUGCGUAGUUGAUAGUAUCAGAAGAGGAAGAGACGGCUAACUCUGUGCCAGCAGCGGCGGUAAUAC